rnacentral:lncRNA from 1 species
GUCCCUUCUUCUCCUUAGCCUCUCCCCUUGUUGUCGCCCCUUCUCCCUUGGGUGUGGGCUCUUUUUGGGCAUCCCACCUGUUGGUGUGAGGUAUCGCACUAGUAUAUCUCUUCCCUCAUUUGAAUGGGUUGCGAAGCUGGUUGGAUCGGAGUUCAUCUUGCUUUCCUGCGGCGUCUGGCGUGCAUGCUUAGUAAAGGGUCUGUAUAUCCAGGCUUUCAUGAAUGUUUAAUUUAGAUUAAUUAAGAUUUAAUCUCUAGUUCUAUUACUAAUCAGGUAAGAAUUUGAUCCUUAUUCAUGUAGAUUAAUAAAAAAUUUUUAGAUGCAAUCUGGGCCUUUCAAAGAGAAAUAGUUUUCCUUCCUUUC